AUUAAUCUCCAAUGCUGGCGCACAAUAUCAGACUCAGCUAGUGAGCCAGCUGCACGCCAGAGAAGAGUAUUUGCUAGAGUUAUUAGGUACCUUAGUACUGUUAUACAAACCAUGAUGUUGGCCAGACAUCUAGGGUGUAACUCCAUGCUAGCUGUCUAAGUCAUACAUGCUUCCACAUAUUAGUAUUCAUUAGUCUAUGAACCAUCACCAAUGUUAGCUCCUUUUAGGUGGGGACCAAUCCCAAUGCCGUCAUACAACUCUAGACUCAAACCGAAGUGAAUCUGUUGCAGAUCGGUCAUUUUAAUAUAGAGAUUGAUCCCCAGCUGGUGUACAACUCUAGACUCAAACAGAAGUGAACCUGUUGCACACCAGUAAGUAGAGUAUUUGCUACAUAAGUACAUUAAGAGCCAGUGCACGACUAGACCGCAACCCAAAGGGAUGCGGCUGCCGCACACUGGUCAAGUACCAUUUUUAUAUGAAGAUGUUGCUGCCAGGCGAUACGCACUCAACCUCUCUGGUUCCCGAUUAGGUCUGGACCAUCUGCAAAGUGGAGUCGCUCACCACAUCUUGUGCUGUGUCCAAGUUUCCAACACUGAAACAAUACAGAGAUUUUCAUUAAUUCACCAUCUUCGCAGCACAUCUGUUAAUACAAAUACAGAGAAUACAACACACACAAAGGUUUGGAGAGUCAGGGCACAAGACAAGAAAUUAAACACAACAAGAGAGGGGUGAGGUCAAGCAGGGCAACAAGAUCAGGACCAGCACCCACAACAUUCAAGACUGAAUGUGGCAGAGAGCAACCUCCAGGCCAGACAACAUAUUUCGUUGGCAUAUAUCUUUGCAGAAACUGAAGCUGUAAAUCCCAAGCUUCUUCAUUACUGAUAUAGUUGAUUGAGGUAGGGCGCCCCUAACCCCAAACACAAGCGGCAUUGAGACAGUUCCACCGAUGCCAAAGAUGUGAGACACUUUCUUCUCAAUAACUUUAUAUUUUUGCACUUUCUCCUUGGCCGCACGCAUCAAGGAGUCGGAGUUCUCAUAUCUAACCGUCACAUCACAAAUAUAAGCUGUGUCUCCUCUCUUCACCACCAAAUCGGGCCUGAACAUCUGCGAAUCCACUGACAAUGUUUGCUCCUUCGCAACAGUUACAUCAGAUUUUAGACUGAGUUUUUCACAUAUCAUGUCACGAAUUUUAUUGUGUCUCUGGAUUCGCUCAGCCAAGUUGCCCUCACAGUAUCCAGUAAUAUGGGCAAGCGUCUCAUGAGGAUGUCUACACUUUCUACAUGAUCGCUCUCUCAUCUUAUCCUCGUGCCACAGUGCGUCUCUCGUGCCGAGGGUAUUGGUCCUGUAUUUUAACAAAUUUAUGAACUUAGACUCAGAUUUAAUAAUACGGUUAUUAUAUAGCCAGUAGUUGGCAACCUUAUUACCAGACAGGGCUUUUACCCCAUGACCAGUAGAUGCGUUCUCUGCCCAUGAUACAGACUCAUCUCUCUUUAGGUUCAUUUUAACUCUAUCAAAGUCAGCCUUUACAGGCUCAGGCGGUAGGCCCAUUAACCCUAGAAUGGUAACAUACCUGAUCCAAACGUUAAUGGUAACGUGUAGUCUCUCAGACUACUUGAGGAAUAAAUUGAAAAAAAAAAACUACAAAAGAUGAAAAAUGAUCAUAUUUUAUUUUCAAAUAUUUUUACUUACAUGUUUUAUGAUGAUUUCAUUUCAUUGAUUUCAAUUGUUGAUUUUUUUCUCACACUCUAUACACACUUUUCCCAUAUGCUCCAAGCAUAUGUGUUUAGCGCAGAAAUGACAUUGGUAUCGAGUCAUCCUUCUCUUCUUACUUGGGCAAAUCGAACAGAUUUUCCUUGUAGAAUCUUCUCGAUGAGUAUCUUGAGCUGGGGAAACGGAUGGUCCAGCAAUAUCUUGAAUCUGACGCUUGAGACUCCUUGACAAACUUGGGAGCUUUUGACGUUCCAAGAUUUGUGGUGAGGUCAGCGCAGUACAGACAUCUUUUGCAAAUGCUCUUCGAGUUAUAGGUUUCUUAUUUUUGGCAACCUCUUGAUGCACAUAUUAUAAUGUAUGAGUUGAUUAUCAUGCUGUUUAUCAUUCCAUAAAAAUGCAUUUUGGCCAUCUUCUGGUUUUGCGGGAGCAAGACAUCAAGGUUGACAUUUCAUCAAAAGUGUCAACAGCACCUUUUGUGGAAUUGUAGUAUUCAAUAAUGUCAGGCUUCCCACUAGCACCAAUUGUUGGCUUUUCGUGUGUAGUGGAUAGCAGAAGAACUUGUUUUGUUUUUUUAGCCUGAUAUGAAACUAAAGUUUUGAGUCCAUCAAAGCAAAAUUUUGAUUUCCCACAUUCCUCUUUUUGAAGCAUUUCUUUUGGUAUCUCUGGCUUAUCCCGUCGCAGUGUUCCUACAAUUGUCAGUUUAUAGGUCUCCAGCAUCAAUUUUGCCAGAGGUACUGAUGUAAACCAAUUAUCGAGAGUAAGAUUCCUAUUGGUGUUAUGAACUGGUUUUGAAAUCUCCCUGACAAAAUAUGUAGAAGAAGGAAGGUUAUCUCUAUCCAUAUUCUUACCAGUGUAUGGUAUUGCAUUUAUUAGGUAUUUUGUUUUGACAUCACACAUCAUGAAUAUUUUUAUACCAUACUUCGAGGGCUUGUUUGGCAUGUACAUCCUAAAACUACAAAGACCCCUAAAUGCCAGUAACUGUUCAUCAAUAGUUAAAUAUGAUCCUGGAGUAUAGAAUCUUUGACAUAGUUCAAUAAAGUCCUGGAAUACCUCGCGAAUCGGUGCAAACUUGUCACUUGCCUGUCUUUCAAGCCUAUGACCAAGCUUCACUAUAUUUGGGGGAUCACUAAAAAUUCACAACUUAUAGUUAAUUCUCAGGCAGAAUUUCUGUAUUUUUUGAAUUAUUUUCUAUCGACGCUCUUGGUAUAACACACUUUCAGAAAUUACAUCCUCAGUUUAUCUGGAUGAUGGGGAUAUUUUAGGAAUAGUUUUACAGGUAAUCCAAUAAGUGGCCCUCAACAAGCUACGUUUAAAACAUUGAACAAAUAAAAAAUAAUUAAUUUACAAAUAUAUCUGAGAUAAUAAACAGAUUAAAGAAAAUGGGACCUCUAAAACUACUCCAUCAACUCCAUGAGAGCAUGAGAGUGCAAAUACUUCUAGCCACGUUUAAAACAUUGAACAAAUAAAAAAUAAUUAAUUUACAAAUAUAUCUGAGAUAAUUAACAGAUUAAAGAAAAUGGGACCUCUAAAACUACUCCAUCAACUCCAUGAGAGUGCAAAUAUUUCUAGCCAGGCAUCUCAUUACAGAACAGCAAACUAAUACAUCUUCUGGAGCAGUGGAGGUUUUUUCACAGGCUCUGGUUUGCACCUAGAUUUACAUCUGUACGAAAUAAAGUUACUGAACUAGAUUGUACUCAUUCAUUUCCGAAAUUUUCCUUUCAAUGGCAAGUACUUGAUUCCUUUUUCUUUUGUUUAAAAUUGUUUGGAAGAGUUUGAAUGCACGACCCUCUAGUUUCUCUAGAUUUAUAGACCUAGAUCUAGAUUUGCAUCUUUCAGAUCUAAAUUUCUGAAUUUUUUUGAGGGCAGCAUCCACUGUGGAUGUAAUAUCCAUAUUUUCUUGGUUAGUACUAUUUUUUUCUCUUGGAGUGUUUUGUUAAAUGAUAGUACAUCACACAACCAUAAUGGAUGAUCUAUGAAUGUGGUCUUCGGGGAUAAGUGCAAAGCCUUCUCAAUAGUAGGAGUACUAGAUUGUUAUCCUUCGCCCAUCUAUGCCUAAUUAAAACUAAAACAAUAGAAAUGUUACAUUCACAUUUCAAAAAUUACUUUUCCUAUAUCAGUGUUAGAAGUCCAAAAAAUCGGGCGAAUCGCUUAAGAGCUCCCUUUCUUUAGGGUGCAAACCGAUUACAGUCUCUUGUUCUCCAAAACCUUCUUGAUCAAUCUUAUGUAAAAACUCUCUGGGGUUACUAUAGUUUGAUUGUAACCAUCGGAUGAUUACAGAGCGCUGUUGUGCAGCUGCACACCCUCCAUUCUUUUGAAUUUCUAGUAGUAGCUCAUCCCUAUUUAGAGAGGAAGCUUUGUCGGAUAUCAUCUCGGACAGUUCAUAUUUUUCCGGGAUGGAGAAUGUCUUCUCAAAUUUGAUAUUUUUCCAAUCGUGGAGAUUGUAAGAUUGAUGAGAGGGUUCAAUCUCCUGUCACUCUGAAAUUCGGGUGCUGAUAUAACUUGUGUUGGUCUUGUCCAGGAGGAUAAGCUGGGGGUACUUCUGAUGUUUCUUGAAUAUGCCAGGCAGAAAUAUUCUCUCCACUUGUUAUGUAUCUUCAGGAGCAGUGGAGGUUUUUCACAGGCUCUGGUUUGCACCAGAAACAAGUUACUGAACUAAAUUGUACUCAUUCAUUUCCGAAAUUUUCCUUUCAAUGGCAAGUACUUGAUUUCUUUUGUUCAGAAUUGUUUGAAAAAUUUUGAAUGCACGACCCUCUAGUUUCUCUAGAUUUAUAGACCUAGAUCUAGAUUUGCAUCUUUCAGAUCUAAAUUUCUGAAUUCUUUUGAGGGCAGCAUCCACUGUGGAUGUAAUAUCCAUAUUGUAUGUUAGUCAGAUCUAUGGUUUUCUCUUGGAUUGUUUUGUUAAAUGAUAGUAGAUCACACCACAAUGAUGGUUGAUCAAUGAAUGGGGUUUUCGGGGAUAAGUGCAAAGCCUUCUCAAUAGUAGGAGUACUAAAUUGUUAUCCUCCCCCUCCCCUCAUCUAUGCUUAAUACAACUAAAACAAUAGAAAUUUUACUUUCAUAUUUCAAUCAUUAAAUUUUCAAAACAUUUUGUUUAUGUUGUAUUGUUGAAUUUUGAGGUUGUCAGGCUCAUUUAAUGUAUCUUUAAAAUUCAUACUCGAAUGAUUCUGCUUCCCUUGCUAUGUGGACAUAAUGUUUCUUUUUCAAAAUGUUUCAUAGUCGAAUGCUAUGAACCUUCUGGUAGUGACAUAAGUUGCACUAUGGGCAUCUAUACAUUCUGCUGUCAUGCAUGCGCGAUGGUAUGCAAUUUCCUCGAUAGGAACUGAUACGUUGGGUAUAUGUUGAAUCCUCUAAUUAUGUAUAAAAUUGUUGAUGCUUUUUGAAUGAAUAUUCAAAUGUAUUUCUGAGAUUUAUAGUCUUCUGUAAUAUUCUCAAUAUUAAGCAUUACCACUAACAUUUUUCGCCCCUCUUUUGGAGCAGAGGAGGUUUUUUCGCGGGCUCUGGUUUGCACCUAGAUUUACAUCUGUAUGUGACAAGUUACUGAACUAAAUUGUACUCAUUCAUUUCCGAAACUUUCCUUGCAAUGGCAAGUAAUUGAUUUGAUGUUGUUCUGUUCACAAUUGAUUUGAUAAGUUUGAAUGCACGACCCUCUUGUUUCUCUAGAUUUAUAGACUCAGACCUACAUUUACACCUUUCAGAUCUGAAUUUCUGAAUUCGUUUUCUAAUGAGAGAAAGCAAGAAAUGCAUCAAUAUUCAAAAAAUUGUAGUAUAAAUAAAAUACUUGGUCAUACAUUCCUAGAAAUAUCUGGCUCCCACUUAAAUAUCCUCAUCAGGCCCACUUGACUUCUUGUUCUUCAACUGCAAUGACAUUAUCAUUUGAUAGUCAAGGGAUUGUGGAAAUGAUGUUGACUCCGAACUGGCAUUGCCUCAUCAUUCCGAACUCCAUCCACUGAAAUUGAAAUUGAAAUUAUGUUUAUUCUUCUUCUUAUGAAUAUCCUCAUCAGGCCCACUUGACUUCCUGUUCUUCAACUGCAAUGACAUUAUCAUUUGAUAGUCUAGGGAUUGUGGAAAUGAUGUUGACUCCGAACUGGCAUUGCCUCAUCAUUCCGAACUCCAUCCACUGAAUUGAAAUUGAAAUUGAAAUUAUCUUUAUUCUUCUUCUUCUUAUGAAGUACAAACAAUUUACAGAGUACAAAACUUGAAGAAGGUUCCUCAUAUGGGCAAAGCCUGUAUUGGACAUAUCAAAUGUUUCAGUGGAAAUUUAAAAAAAGGGAAAUUGAAACUAUUUGAAUUUUCACAGCCACAUUGAAUUAUGGAGUCCAACAAAGGCAGCUAUUGUGCGAAAUGAAUGACAUUUGACAGCAUUAUUGACUGAUGGAACCCGAAUUGUAGACAAGGUCAAACUUUUUU